rnacentral:rRNA from 1 species
UACGUAGGGUGCGAGCGUUGUCCGGAAUUAUUGGGCGUAAAGAGCUCGUAGGCGGUCUGUCGCGUCUGCUGUGAAAACCCGGGGCUCAACUCCGGGCCUGCAGUCGAUACGGGCAGACUGGAGUGUGGUAGGGGAGAUCGGAAUUCCUGGUGUAGCGGUGAAAUGCGCAGAUAUCAGGAGGAACACCGGUGGCGAAGGCGGAUCUCUGGGCCAUUACUGACGCUGAGGAGCGAAAGCGUGGGGAGCGAACAGGA